rnacentral:rRNA from 1 species
CGGACGGGUGAGUAACACGUAGAGAACCUACCUUACACAGGGGGACAACGGCUGGAAACGGCUGCUAAUACCGCAUAAGCACCCAGUUUCGCAUGAAACAGAGUGAAAAGAGUAAAUCGGUGUAAGAUGGCUCUGCGUCUGAUUAGCUAGUUGGUGGGGUAAAGGCUCACCAAGGCGACGAUCAGUAGCCGGCCUGAGAGGGCGACCGGCCACAUUGGGACUGAGACACGGCCCAGACCCCUACGGAAGGCAGCAG